UGGACUUCUACUUCUUUGCAGGUUCGUCUCCUUUAGAUGCAGUUUAACAGUUCAUUGACUCCGUAGGCCACAGCUGCAAUGUCCUAUUGAGCUUCUGAUUUGUCUCCAUUAAAUGCUGUUCAACAGUUCACUGGCCUCGUAGGACACACAGCUGCAACGCCCUAUUGGGCUUCUGGUGGGUUGAAGGCCACUCUCUCAAAUGGUUGUCUAACAGUUUAAUAAAAAGGAGAUCGCAAAGAGAGUUAAACAGCUUUUUGAAGUAGUUAAUUUUGACAAUUAUGGUGGGAGAAAGCCUAAGGUGACAUUUUUGGUUUGUAUUCAAAGGAGCAAGUGAUGGACCAUUUCUUUAAUAAUAUUUUGGUCAAGCGCAUUUAUC